GACGGGGGAUGCAAGCGUUAUCCGGAAUCACUGGGCGUAAAGCGUCUGUAGGUGGUGAUGCAAGUCACUGGUGCAAAACUCUGGCUCAACCGGAGGAAAGCCAGUGAAACUGCAUGACUAGAGUGUGGGAGAGGUAGAAGGAAUUCCAUGAGUAGCGGUGAAAUGCGUAGAUACAGGGAAGAACACCGGAGGCGAAAGCGUUCUACUGGAACACAACUGACACUGAGAGAAGAAAGCGAGGGGAGCGAAUGGG
rnacentral:rRNA from 1 species